UCCCAAGUAGUCUAAUGGCUAGUAUGCUAGUCUUUCACACUGGAGAUCCGGGUUCGAUUCCCGGCUUGGGAA
rnacentral:tRNA from 1 species